rnacentral:rRNA from 1 species
CACCGCGGUUAUACGAGGGGCCCAAGCUGACAGACACCGGCGUAAAGAGUGGUUAAGGAUUAACCCCACUAAAGUCAAACAUCCCCUAUGCUGUUAUACGCCUCCGGGGACAGGAUGCCCCACCACGAAAGUGACUUUAAUAAAUCUCCCGAACCCACGACAGCUAUGAAA